UACGGGGGGGGCAAGCGUUGUUCGGAUUUACUGGGCGUAAAGGGCGCGUAGGCGGCCACCGCAAGUCGAUUGUGAAAUCUCCGGGCUUAACCCGGAAAGGUCAACCGAUACUGCGGGGCUAGAGUGCAGAAGGGGCAACUGGAAUUCUCGGUGUAGCGGUGAAAUGCGUAGAUAUCGAGAGGAACACCUGCGGCGAAGGCGGGUUGCUGGGCUGACACUGACGCUGAGGCGCGACAGCGUGGGGAGCAAACAGG
rnacentral:rRNA from 1 species